UGAUUGUCCAAACGCAGUUCUUGUUCUCAUGUUUGUCGUCAAGAACUGUGUGUGGACGUCAGU
rnacentral:pre_miRNA from 1 species